AGCCCAUCAGCUAGCCCCAAACUCAUAAACCAAAAACAACCAACCAAUAUACAUAACCCCAAAAAUACUAAUCCUAAAAUAAAACAAACCAUUUUUCCCCCUUAGU
rnacentral:rRNA from 1 species